AGGUUGCGUGACCAAACAUCGAGUAGAACAGCCACGCGGACUGAAUCGUUCUCGUCCGAUGCAUUCUUCCCAAGCGUCAGUGUUUUUCUGUGGGAUUUUUCUUCAGUGCUUCACAUGUGUCGCUUGUGAGGACCUCAAUUCCGUUGAUUACAUCGCUAUUGGUGUUUCCUUAACAUUAGCAAUUGUUAUUUUGGUAUUCCUUAUUGUCUUUUACUGGCUUGCGCAACGAAGGAUCGCAGCGGGUGGCAACAUCAGAGAAAUGGGACAAGAAAAUCCGUGUGCCAAUGGCUA